rnacentral:rRNA from 1 species
AUGCGCCAAGUACAAGAGCUUCUCGACAAAGGAGGCAUUAAUAAUAUUACUAUUCGUUAUCGUCAUCCUAUUCCUAGGCUAGAUGAUAUGCUUGAUGAAUUGAGUGGUUCUACAAUAUUCUCCAAAGUUGAUUUGCGUAGUGGCUACCAUCAAAUUCGUAUGAAAUUGGGAGAUGAAUGGAAAACAGCAUUUAAAACUAAGUUUGGAUUAUAUGAGUGGUUAGUCAUGCCUUUUGGGUUAACUAAUGCACCUAGUACUUUCAUGAGAUUAAUGAACGAAGUUUUACGUGCUUUCAUUGGACGAUUUGUGGUAGUUUACUUUGAUGACAUACUGAUUUAUAGCAGAUCUUUGGAAGAACAUUUGGAACAUUUACGUGUUGUUUUUAUUGCUCUACGUGAUGCACAUUUUUUUGGUAACCUUGGGAAGUGCACCUUUUGCACCGACCGAGUAUCUUUUCUUGGCUAUGUUGUUACUCCACAGGGAAUUGAAGUUGACAAAGCCAAUAUUGAAGCUAUUGAGAGUUGGCCGCAGCCCAAAACGGUCACACAAGUGAGGAGUUUUCUUGGCCUCGCUGGAUUCUAUAGGCGUUUUGUGAGAGAUUUCAGCACCAUUACUGCACCUCUCAACGAGCUUACAAAGAAGGAUGUGCCUUUUGUUUGGGGUACCACACAGGAAGAAGCCUUCACGGUAUUGAAAGAUAAGUUGACACAUGCUCCUUUACUCCAACUUCCUGAUUUUAAUAAGACUUUUGAGCUUGAAUGUGAUGCUAGUGGAAUUGGAUUAGGAGGUGUGUUAUUACAAGAUGGCAAACCUGUUGCAUACUUUUCUGAAAAAUUGAGUGGGCCUAGUCUGAAUUAUUCUACUUAUGAUAAAGAAUUAUAUGCUCUUGUUCGGACUUUAGAAACAUGGCAACAUUAUUUAUGGCCCAAAGAGUUUGUUAUACAUUCUGAUCAUGAAUCUUUGAAACAUAUUAAAAGUCAAGCUAAACUGAAUCGUAGACAUGCUAAAUGGGUUGAAUUCAUUGAGACUUUCCCUUAUGUCAUUAAACACAAGAAGGGAAAAGAAAAUGUUAUUGCUGAUGCAUUGUCUCGUCGCUAUACUAUGCUUUCACAACUUGACUUCAAAAUAUUUGGUUUGGAGACCAUCAAAGAUCAAUAUGUGCAUGAUGCUGAUUUUAAAGAUGUAAUGCAGAAUUGUAAAGAAGGAAGAAUGUGGAACAAGUUUGUCGUUAACGAUGGAUUUGUGUUUCGUGCUAACAAGCUAUGCAUUCCAGCUAGCUCCGUUCGUCUUUUGUUGUUGCAGGAAGCGCAUGGAGGAGGAUUAAUGGGACAUUUUGGCCUGAAGAAGACGGAGGACGUACUUGCUACACAUUUCUUUUGGCCAAAGAUGAGACGGGAUGUUGAGCGGCUGUUUUGA